CAGCUGGUUCUUCAAGCUUCACCGCAAGCACUGAUUUCCGCUCACUUUGGCUGCAUGUUUCAAAUCUUCCCAUGUUUCAAAUCUUCCCUCCGGCUGCCUUGCCAGAAGCUAUCCUGAUCUGGACUAGACCUGGGCAAGAACCACAAGGCCCAGGACCUACUACUAUGGACAAUUCUUCUGCCAACUGUACCCUGGCCUACCAAGAAGCACUGGGACACUUCUUACCACGGAACUGGGCCUAUGGAGGGGCCAUGUGGCAAGGGCCUGAAGGUGAUCUCUAAUUGCUUAGAAUGGCCUCAAAUCAACUACAAGCAAUAUAAAGGUUCCUGAACACACAACCCCAAAGAAUGAAUUCUGCCAACAACUUUGUGAGCUUGGAAGAGACCCUCAAGCCUCAGGUGAAAACUAAACAAGAAGUCUGGUUAAAAGGAAACAAGCCCACAAGAUUUGUUGAUGAUUCUGCCUUGGUUAACGCCUGACCCAUCUCAAAUUAUAUUUC